GAGCCAUUAGCUCGGCUGGUAGAGCAUCUGACUUUUAAUCAGAGGGUCAGAGGUUCGAAUCCUCUAUGGCUCA
rnacentral:tRNA from 1 species